AUGCACGCUGGCGGCGUGCCUAAUACAUGCCAGUCGAGCGAACGGACGAGAAGCUUGCUUCUCUGAUGCUAGCGGCGGACGGGUGAGUAACACGUGGAUAACCUACCUAUAAGACUGGGAUAACUUCGGGAAACCGGAGCUAAUACCGGAUAAUAUUUUGAACCGCAUGGUUCAAAAGUGAAAGACGGUCUUGCUGUCACUUAUAGAUGGAUCCGCGCUGCAUUAGCUAGUUGGUAAGGUAACGGCUUACCAAGGCAACGAUGCAUAGCCGACCUGAGAGGGUGAUCGGCCACACUGGAACUGAGACACGGUCCAGACUCCUACGGGAGGCAGCAGUAGGGAAUCUUCCGCAAUGGGCGAAAGCCUGACGGAGCAACGCCGCGUGAGUGAUGAAGGUCUUCGGAUCGUAAAACUCUGUUAUUAGGGAAGAACAUAUGUGUAAGUAACUGUGCACAUCUUGACGGUACCUAAUCAGAAAGCCACGGCUAACUACGUG
rnacentral:rRNA from 1 species